rnacentral:rRNA from 1 species
UACAGAGACUGCAAGCGUUAUUCGGAUUCACUGGGCGUAAAGGGUGUGCAGGCGGCCGAGUGUGUGAGGCGUGAAAGCCCGGGGCUUAACCCCGGAAUUGCACCUCAAACUACACGGCUAGAGCAUUGGAGAGGGUAGCAGAAUUCAUGGUGUAGCAGUGAAAUGCGUAGAUAUCAUGAGGAAUACCAGAGGCGAAGGCGGCUACCUGGACAAUUGCUGACGCUCAGGCACGAAAGCGUGGGGAGCAAAAGGG